GGUAGGGGGCAAGCGUUGUCCGGAUUUAGUUGGGCGUAAAGCGCGCGUAGGCGGCAAGGUAUGUCGUGCGUGAAAUCUCCCGGCUUAACUGGGGAGGGGCCGUGCGAAACUGCCUGGCUUGAGGUCGGAAGGGGAAAGUGGAAUUCCGGGUGUAGUGGUGGAAUACGUAGAUAUCCGGAGGAACACCAGCGGCGAAGGCGGCUUUCUGGUCCGAUUCUGACGCUGAGGCGCGAAAGCGUGGGGGAGCGAUCCGGAUUAGAUACCCGGGUAGUCCACGCCGUAAACGAUGAGUACUAGGUGUCGGGGGUAUCGACCCCCUCGGUGCCGUCGCUAACGCAUUAAGUACUCCGCCUGGGGACUACGGCCGCAAGGCUA
rnacentral:rRNA from 1 species